UAGAGAAUCUCUUUUUCUUUUAUUUGUGUUUACUUUCCUAAGUCAUAGCUCAAAUUUGCAGGGUCUAUUACUCUCAAUCAAUCUGUGCACGCAGUUGUUGAACGUUUCUUCAUAUCAGAACUAACAAUAACAGGAAUAAUGUAUAUUCUCCUUAUUCAAAUUCAAGGACUAUUAAUGGUGUUACAAAACAAAAGAACAAAGAGACUCGGUUUUCAACUGAGAUCAAGAAAUCGAAUAAUCCUACUGCAUCACGUGCAAAACAGGGCUCGCAACGUGGCUCCUUGCUCGGCCGAGCCCGGGAGAGGGCGGUGGAAGUUCUGGACACACUUGGAAGCAGCAAUUCUGUUUCAUUCACACUCUGAAGAAAACAUUCAGUUCCUUAAAAAAGAGAUCUUUCAAUCAGAAGGAGUUCAAAAAUUGGUUUCUACUGAUACAAAAGAGUUACUAAGUCUUGUUGAGGCUGACAAAAGGGAAGAAUUCAAUGCCUUCUCCAAGGAAGUAGUUAGAUUUGGAAAUAUGUGUAAAGAACAUCAGUGGCAUAACCUUGAUAGAUUUUUCUCAAGAUUAGGUGUGGAUGUCUUGAGCAAUAAAGACCUUAAGCUAGAGGCAGAAAAGACAAUGCAGGAGUUGAUCACACUAGGUAGUUGAAAAGCUUGUGGAUAUUAUUACCUAUAUGCAUCAAUCAAUUUCUAAGUUCCUUGGAAAUGAUGGUACCUAAAUCUUAACUCAUAAAAUACUUUGAUACCAUAUUGAGAAUGAUGAUAGUCAGAAAAUAAAAUAGUCUUAGAAAGUAGUAUAAAAUUAAAAUUUUACCAAAUGGUAAAAAACAUGUAAAUCUUACAUAGGCUUACAAAGACAACUAAUAUGCAAUAACCUUUAAACUAUCUAAUAAUUAUUCAGUAAUGCGAUGUUGAUGAUUAUAGUAUAAACUGAGCUAAGAGAAAAGUUUAAAAACUAAAGUUUGUGGUUCUGAUUGUUAAUCUUGUAAAAUUUUAUGAAAUUUUGAAUUUAUAGCAGGUACAACUGUUCUCAAAGACUAGGUGAAGCUGGUCUUGCAUUGCACUAUGCUAACAUUAUCAAUCAGAUAAAUAUGAGGGACAUAUUAUAUCAUGGAUUGCCCAAUAGUAUUAAGAGUUGCAAAAUAUGGAUAUCACUAAAGAGGAAUAAUAAUGAGUUUGGUGACAGCACAGCCAAGGAGAGUAAUCUAUAUAUACAUAAACACAAAAUAUUAGGUUUAUAGUGAUCUUAUUAAUUAAUUACUUGUAUAGUUGUAUGCUUUCUAAGUUAUUUUUUGUAUAGAGAAAUUGAAGCUAGCUAGGUGGAAUACAUAUAUACGUUUGAUGUUCUUGAUUCUUGAAGGAGAUUAAUUCCUUGACACAAAUUUGAUCCACAUAUGUAAAGAUCCUACCAAAAAUAUGUAAAGUAAUUUUCAUUGUGCCUAAGCCUAAUUGUCUAUACUCAAAAUAUUGAUAUCGUGCAGUUUACAUUUGGCAUUUGUUGGGUCUUAAAUCUUAAUUGAUGAUGUCUCAAAUCUCAAGACUACUUCCAUUUCGAGUUUAGCCUGCUAGCUAACUUUGAAAUUUCAGUCAAGUGCCCCUCUUUAAUUAAACUGUUUAGGCCAUGCUUACAUUGAUGGAUGUUUGAUGAUAUAUAUA